CGUAGGGUGCAAGCGUUGUUCGGAAUCAUUGGGCGUAAAGCGCGAGUAGGCGGUUUUCUAAGUCGGAUGUGAAAUCCCUCGGCUCAACCGAGGAAGUGCAUUCGAAACUAGUUAGCUGGAAGAUGGUAGAGGAAGGUGGAAUUCCAAGUGUAGAGGUGAAAUUCGUAGAUAUUUGGAGGAAUACCAGAGGCGAAGGCGGCCUUCUGGACCAUUCUUGACGCUGAGACGCGAAAGCGUGGGUAGCAAACAGGAUUAGAUACCCUGGUAGUCCACGCCGUAAACGAUGGGUACUAGGUGUUGCGGGAAUUGACCCCUGCAGUGCCGACGCUAACGCAUUAAGUACCCCGCCUGGGAAGUACGGCCGCAAGGUUA
rnacentral:rRNA from 1 species